GGACCUGACUGCUAUCGGAUUGAUACUAAGCCAUGCGAGUCUUUGUAGUAAUACAAGGCAGACGGCUCAGUAACGCGUAGUCAAUCUACCCUAUGGACGAGGAUAACCUCGGGAAACUGAGAAUAAUACUCGAUAGAACAUUAUGCCUGGAAUGGUUUAUGUUCCAAAUGAUUUAUCGCCGUAGGAUGGGACUGCGGCCUAUCAGUUUGUUGGUGAGGUAAUGGCCCACCAAGACUAUUACAGGUACGGGCUCUGAGAGGAGUGGCCCGGAGAUGGGUACUGAGACACGGACCCAGGCCCUAUGGGGCGCAGCAGGCGAGAAAACUUUGCAAUGUGCGAAAGCACGACAAGGUUAAUCCGAGUGGUUUCUGCUGAAGAGACCUUUUGUCGGUCCUAGAAACACCGAUGAAUAAGGGGUGGGCGAGUUCUGGUGUCGAGCU
rnacentral:rRNA from 1 species